AGUUCAGAUUGCAGGCUGCAACCCGCCUGCAUGAAGUCGGAAUUGCUAGUAAUCGCGGAUCAGCAUGCCGCGGUGAAUACGUUCCCGGGCCUUGUACACACCGCCCGUCACACCAUGGGAGCCGGUAAUACCCGAAGUCAGUAGUCCAACCACGUGAGGACGCUGCCGAAGGUAGGAUUGGCGACUGGGGUGAAGUCGUAACAAGGUAGC
rnacentral:rRNA from 1 species